rnacentral:misc_RNA from 1 species
AAGUCGUAACAAGGUUUCCGUAGGUGAACCUGCGGAAGGAUCAUUAUCGAAUUUUGAGGGGGGAAGAUGGCGAGUGGGGGACUGUCGCUGGCCCUCGGGCAUGUGCACGUCUCUUCCUUGUCGUCGACCUUUCUUUCAAUACACACACCUGUGCACCUUUUGUAGGCCCUCGAAAGAGGAUCUACGUUUUUUCACAUCACACCCGUCGUAUGUCCAUAGAAUGUAUUCAGAACGUCGACCUGUUUUUGCAGGCCUGGCGGUCGAUAAAUUAUACAACUUUCAGCAACGGAUCUCUUGGCUCUC